rnacentral:tRNA from 1 species
GUUAUGGCUCAGUGGUAGAGUGCUUGCCUAGCAUGUGUGAGGCACUGGGUUCGAGUCUCAGCAUCACA